UGCUCAUGCUCACCCACGCUCACACACAGCAGGAAGCCAGAGGAGCAGAGUACAAGCACCUCCUGACUGCCUGCAGGUGUCAUUCCCCACCGUUCUGGGACAGCCAACUGCCUUGUGACAUUUCACACUCCCUCUCCCUCCCCUGCCCAGCCACAGAGAGACACAGCUCUUCCUCUCCACCUCUGCUCUUUACACAUCUCUGGGUCUGUGCUGUCCCCAGGGGCAGCAGGUUGCUGGAAGGACAGGCCCUUUCCCUAUGGAUUUCCAGGGGUUCCUUGUGGCCAUCCUGCUCCCUGUGGGCUGGGCCCUUCAGCAGUCAGCAGAUACAAUUGUCCGGGAGGGAGACCCUGUGACUCUGGAAUGUUCUGCAUCAGCAAAAAAUUUUGUAAACAUGUACUGGUACAAGUUACCCAUGGAGAAGAAUGCCACUAUGCAGUUGGUUGUAUAUUCAUUGGAAGGCAGCAAAGCAGAUUUUGAGAAGGAAUUCCAAAGUCGCUUCCAGAGUAAUGGGACUAAGGACAACCAUUUAUCUGUGAAGAUAGAGCAUGCCCUACUCAGUGACACAGGCACAUAUUUCUGUGCUGAGCAAGAUCCACAGUGA